rnacentral:rRNA from 1 species
AACCGCGAUAAGUGAGGAUUUCUGGAAUGGUUCCUGACUAAAAUCUAUAUGGCCUCUGGAUUGGACUGCGGCCGAUCAGGCUGUUGGUGAGGUAAUGGCCCACCAAACCUGUAACCGGUACGGGCUCUGAGAGGAGGAGCCCGGAGAUGGGCACUGAGACAAGGGCCCAGGCCCUAUGGGGCGCAGCAGGCGCGAAACCUCUGCAAUAGGCGAAAGCCUGACAGGGUUACUCUGAGUGACUUUCGCUAAGAAAGUCUUUUGGCACCUCUAAAAAGGGUGCAGAAUAAGGGGUGGGCAAGUCUGGUGUCAGCCGCCGCGGUAGUACCAGCACCCCGAGUGGUCGGGACGAUUAUUGGGCCUAAAGCAUCCGUAGCCGGUUCUGCAAGUCCCCCGUUAAAUCCAGCUGCUCAACAGAUGGGCCGCGGAGGAUACUACAGAGCUAGGAGGCAGGAGAGGCAAGCGGUACUCAGUGGGUAGGGGUAAAAUCCGUUGAUCCAUUGAAGACCACCAGUGGCGAAGGCGGCUUGCCAGAAUGCGCUCGACGGUGAGGGAUGAAAGCUGGGGGAGCAAACCGGAUUAGAUACCCGGGUAGUCCCAGCCGUAAACGAUGCAGACUCGGUGAUGGGUUGGCUUCGCGCUAACCCAGUGCCGUAGGGAAGCCGUUAAGUCUGCCGCCUGGGUAGUACGGUCGCAA